CUGGCUGAAACAUGCCACAUAAUUAGAUUUUCUUUUUCUUUACCUUUUCUUUCUUAUUUUUAUAAGAGGCCCGGAAUUAGCCUCUUCGACUGGGGCGGAGUAGCUGGGGUGUGGGAAAGGAACACCUUCAUACAACUUCCAGCUUUCAGCCCCUUGGAGAGAUUUCCAAAUUCCCCAGAGCCUCUAGGACUUCCUUUCCUCGAUCUCUCGGCCACCUCCUCCUCCUUCUCCGAUCUGUUUUUUUUUCCCUCCUCCCACUGUCUUCUCUAUGGUUUAAUCAAAGUUCAGCGACUCCACUUGCCUCUCCUCUCAUUUCUUUCGGAAAGGGGAAACCAGACGACCCAGCGGCCACGGGACGAGUCGCCCCAACUCAACCCCAGCAGGACGCUGGAGGGGCCUCCCUUGCCCACCUCUCUUCGCUGGCACUGGCCUCCUGCACCCGGGUCUGCAGUCCCUCCGCCAUCUCACAAGUGUGCAGCCGCUAGGCCUGGGGGAUCCGAAUGACUGGGGCUGGAUAGGAAUGCCUUCGUGUUUCCCAAGACCCCCGGGCCUGCUCCACAAAGUUUGAAGGGUGGGUACACCCCGACCCAGGCAAGUUACUCCCCCAAACCCAUGACUGACUAAUCUGAUAUGACAAAAGCCCAUGAUGGAUUUGGUAUAUGUUAAUUCACAAUGCCCUUUCCUCCAGAAUUUAACUAUAAGUUAAUACACACCGGAAACCACGCGCAUGCACGCUCCUUAAUGGGCUUAGGUAUUAGCGAGUCCUAACGAUGCAUACAAAUGUGCUCUGCGCUCUGUAGACCCCUCAAGAUUUAUGGGCCUUGAGCUCUCUGAAGCUGUAAACAAGGAGAAAAAAAAAAGAGAAAGCGAAAGCGACUGGGGGGAAGAGACAGAGGCCUGACUCGCCCCUCCAGGUUUUGGAGAGAAGGGAUUCUUUAUGUAUUUUCCUUUCCUUGCAAGCUCGGAGCCCCUGUUUUAAGAAGGAGGCCAAAUGUGCAGGCUCAGGCCAAGCAGCAGAGAUGAAUGAGGUGAUGACCACAGCCUUGAUCCGGCAGGAGCUCAGAGAUGCCCGGGAAGACGGGGGGCCCGAAUGGAAGCAGAAAAACACUUAUGGCCGCUGGGAAGUUGGGAGAGCCAGGCUGGGACUCCGGCAGGCCCAGGGAAAGUUCCCCUUCUAGGCUCUUUAUUAAAAAAUUUAAAAGGAGGAGUUGAGGCGCCUUGAAUUUUCCUUCGCGAGUUUGGAGACCAGCCGAUUUUUCACGAAGCAAGCAAAGACCGCGGUCCCGGAUCCUGCAACAUAUACCUCAUUUUCUCCAGGCCUCUCCACUUGCCCGAGCUCUCAGCCACCAGGAGACAGACGGAAGGGGCUUCUGGGCUGUGUUGGGAGCGGGCAUUGUCCCCUACCCACUCCUGCACAGUUUCCCAAAGUCCAGCCACCUCCGACCCUCCUUGGGGGAAAAAAUACCAGUACCCAGACACCUCUGCACCCUGUUAUAUGACUGGGCUUGCUUCAGGAAUAUCUUACAAAGAAGAAGGAGGAGGAGGAGGAACGGCUUGGAGUCAUGUUUACAUCUAGUUCUACUGAUCCGUUCACAUCUGGAGAGUUUAUUUAUAACUCCCUCUAUAACUCUCUGUUUGGAGGCACUGGUGGCUCUACUGACAGACUGAUGUCUAGGAAAUAUUGCUCUAUGUCUAAUGGUACCUAAAUGUGCUGUGGUUGUAUUUACAGAUUUACGUUUGAGGGAAAUAUAAUUAUUUCCAUUGUA
rnacentral:lncRNA from 1 species